GGGCGAUUGGUUUAGUGGUAUAAUACCCCCUUAGCAUCCGUUUCCGAAGUUUCAAUUCCGGAGUUUGAUUGGGGGUGGUCGAGAGUUCGAUUCUCUCAUCGUCCA
rnacentral:tRNA from 1 species